rnacentral:rRNA from 1 species
UAGGGAAUCUUCGGCAAUGGGGGGAACCCUGACCGAGCAACGCCGCGUGAGUGAAGAAGGUUUUCGGAUCGUAAAGCCCUGUUGUUAAGGAAGAACGAGUGUGAGAAUGGAAAGUUCAUACUGUGACGGUACUUAACCAGAAAGGGACGGCUAACUACGUGCCAGCAGCCGCGGUACUACGUAGGUCCCGAGCGUCGUCCGGAUUUAUUGGGCGUAAAGCGAGCGCAGGCGGUUAGAUAAGUCUGAAGUUAAAGGCAGUGGCUCAACCAUUGUAGGCUUUGGAAACUGUUUAACUUGAGUGCAGAAGGGGAGAGUGGAAUUCCAUGUGUAGCGGUGAAAUGCGUAGAUAUAUGGAGGAACACCGGUGGCGAAAGCGGCUCUCUGGUCUGUAACUGACGCUGAGGCUCGAAAGCGUGGGGAGCGAACAGG